rnacentral:rRNA from 1 species
AUACGUAGGGUGCAAGCGUUAAUCGGAAUUACUGGGCGUAAAGCGUGCGCAGGCGGUUUUGUAAGACAGUGGUGAAAUCCCCGGGCUCAACCUAGGAACUGCCAUUGUGACUGCAAGGCUGGAGUGCGGGAGAGGGGGAUGGAAUUCCGCGUGUAGCAGGGAAAUGCGUAGAUAUGCGGAGGAACACCGAUGGCGAAGGCAAUCCCCUGGGCCUGCACUGACGCUCAUGCACGAAAGCGUGGGGAGCAAACAGGAUUAGAUACCCUGGUAGUCCACGCCCUAAACGAUGUCAACUGGUUGUUGGGGAUUUAUUUUCUCAGUAACGAAGCUAACGCGUGAAGUUGACCGCCUGGGGAGUACGGCCGCAAGGUUAAAACUCAAAUGAAUUGACGGGG